AUAGUAAUCAUCAUCACAGAGAUGAGUGUCGCACGCUAACUACAGGUGUUAUCUGACGCUGGAGCAACGUCCUGACGUAGACAAUACGAUAGGUACCCGUCAGUAUACAGUCAACUCACUGACAGCCAGACGAACUUUGUUCACUACAAACAGUCAAGCCAUGGUGAGCUUCUUUCGCACCUCGCUGUUCCUGUGUGCUUUUGUUGUCACGUGGGCUUUCCCUCAGAAUGUUUUCCGCAAAUCUGAGUGUCCAGCUAACCAGUGCUCCACCAAAAAUCUUAAAGAUUUCAAAGGGAAGCCGUGCCUGAAGCUGAAUGAGGAGAUUGUUUACAGAUGUCAGAAAUUCAAAUGCGUGAAUAUGAACGCGUCCGGCAGUACACUACAGCCUGGAGAGGAACUCGGGUGCUAUAUCUCUAGGGGCGAUUGUAUUCCUUUCAAAUCUCAGAGGAAUCAGACGGACAGUGAGGGUCAAGAGAGGAUGGAAUGUUUAUGCGACAAACAUAGGGGUGGUUCUUUAAUCAUCUGCGCGUAAGAAUAAAAAUGUUAUUGGGAGGACUGGCACCUUGAAGAACAUUUCAUCUGACCUGAGGUCGCAGGGAACCAGUCGUGGCCUUGUGCCUGACCCGACAUCUGCACUGCCGUGAUUAGAGCAAAGAUUGUUAUGGACAAAGAUUUUCAAAUAAAGAUAAUUUCUGUUUUGUU